rfam:Gossypium raimondii chromosome 5, whole genome shotgun sequence.
AUCCCAUGAUGUGGACACUUACGAAGCAAUUCUCUGAAUCUUUCUUACACCUCAUAUAAAGACUCGUCAUCCAAUUGUUGGAAAAUAGUUAUCUCAUUUAGAAACUU